UGUAAUAUUUACCCCUGUGAUCUUUAAUUAUUCACUUUUGGUUAUAAAGAAAUUAGUUACCAGAUUCAUUUUUUACCGAUAUUUAGAAAUGGCAGUUGAAAAGUACAAUUAGGAGCAAAAAUGUUAUUUUAAUGUUUAUUUUGGGCAAAUUUGGAACUAAAAUCAUUGUGCAUAUACAUUCUUCAUGAGCUCAUUUUCUCUAGCUUCUCCUCAAUUCAGAUUAUCAUGUUUUGGUUCGAGUUUGCCUUCGGUGUUGCUGUAUUUCGGAGGUACAGGAAGUUGAUUUCCCUUUUUAUUUCUGUCUUUUCAUCACCCUCUCUUCUUCAAUGUGUCCAAUUCAAUGGUGGUUAUGUCCUACUAGAACUCCAUAUGCACCGGUCCUCAAUUCAUUUAUUUUCUUGCCAAUGAGAUGACUUUUUACAGAUAGUUGAUGCGAUCAACAUGUUUAACAAAAUUCCCCAGCGAAAGAAAGACUUGUGUUUCGUUGAGAGAUUAGUCCCAAGAGUUGAUCGUUUUACAAAUGUUGCAAGGCUAAUGAAACUGAAAUAGCUGCUUCUGUGAAGAGGCAAAUCACAAUUCUCAAAUAUGUACGUGGUAUGAUUACGCCCUGUAGAAAGCUUGAUCUUGUUGUAAAGUCCAAGUCCAGCAAAUCAAGCCAAGGAUAAAAAAAAGAUUCGGAAUCAGAAGCAAUUAAUACAAGCCAAGUAAAAGAUACUCUCGCUCCUCGAAAACCACCAUUGCCUGUAUCUAAGAAAAUCAAGAAGAUUUCAGCUUCGCCUCAGGUCCUAAAAAUCACGCCAGUCUAGACUUCGAUCCAUCCAUAACAACCAACAACUAAACAUACAAAGAGCUCUAAAAGGCUCCAACUUCACAGCUUUCACAGAAAAGGACCCACAACCAGAAUGCUGUAAGUGAAGCUGAGCUAUCUAAACAAUAUGUUGGAAGGUCUGGGACCCAGAAAACAUCAUUUCCUCUACAUGCUUUGGCAGUUAAGAUAAGGAUUCCGACUCCAUCGGACAGUCUAAAUCAUCCACAAGCACCAAGGAGCCUUCAAGAAUUAGAGAGAUAAACUUAGGACAUGAAGAGUCUAUCCAUCAUAUUAUAUUGGAAGUACCAUGAACUGCAUGAAUUUAUAUCACAAGGAACAGUCAAGCGCAGUCUGUGUGACAGAUGAUUUUGUAAUGCAAAAUGUUAUUCUUUAAAUGGGUUUAUGCCUUAUGGCCCUUGGAGGAAUGCAGAUUCAUGAGCUGCACAGGUAUGUAAAACUGUUGUGCCGUCAGCCUUCUUCACUGCUCUAUUUUUCUCGGCUUCUGCUUAGUAUUCUAUAUCUACCUGCUUCUUGCUUCAUAUUUAGUCAAUUUCGCUAGAGAUAACUACUCCUAAUUCGGCCUGAAUUUUGAUGUUUAAUGUUUUUAUUUUGUUUGUAGAGAGUCCUUUUACAACAGAAUUGGGGAAUGUCUUGUAAGUAUUAUAAAUCUUUGGCUGUAAGUACAGUCUGCUAUCUGCUUUCAAGUGUGGAAGUCUUCUUUCCUUUGCACAUUAACUUAUUCAUGUUCAAACAUCGUAGUAAACAAUGAUCUAUUAAUGUCAAAAAUAACAGAAAUUCUUUAAACUUUAUUUCAUCUUCUCAAACUAAAAUAGAGGUAUGCAACUAUUGCUGAUCAUAUAGAGUAUCUUUAUUUAGCUGUGUUUUCCUUUUAUGUAUGAAUCUUUAUCUUUAAGUUGCAACUUUCUUGAAAUUUCAUUUUUUGAUUACCCUUCUGUUUGUAACGAGUAUUUAUGCUAUAGCAGGGGACUUUUUUGUGUUUAUGAAUUAAAGAAAUUGGCUGAUUUUAUCAAGUUUAUGUGUAGUUGUGUUUUAUAUUCCGUUCAUAUUUGAUCUUGGAAGACAUUAAGUUACAGUUCAUGUUGCAAGUCCUUUUAUUGAUUACCAUUUUGUUAUAUUAAUUAGUUAUAACAGGGGACCUUAAUUUGGUGAGUAGGAUUCAAAGAAGAAAGAUGAGUUCAAUCAUGAAUGGAUUGUUGUUGAAGUACAAAGCAAAUGACAUGCACACGAAAAAAUUACUAAAACAGAAAUUUGUGGAAGGGCAGUUUCAAGCAAAGUAUCCUUCUAGCAUCUAUGUGAGUUGUUAUACAUGCAGUAACGUCAUUAGGUGCCAUCAGUAAGAAGCUAAUGGAUUUUCAAAUUCCCAACUCCCAUAAGAAAGCAAAAUCUUCCAUCUCAUGCAAUUUUGAGUACUGUUUUAGAUCCUACAUCAACUGCAAAACAGGUAUUACUCACUUGGCCUUGAAAUGAUGCGUACUAUUGGUCGUACUUUCGUUUCCUGCUCGAUAGCCAUUUAUAUUACCCAGCAUGACUUGCAUGUUGGCAGAAUAACUGUAAGAGGUAUUUUGAUUUUGUGUAAGAUGCCAAGGAGUUGGCUCUAGAUCUGGUUAGUGUUUUCUUAUAGCUUCUUUCCAAAAGAUUCAGUUAUAAGUGAAUUUUGCAUCUGUUUUGUGGUGAAAACGUAUAAAUAUCAUUUACUAUAAGUCUUUUUUAUUUAAAACUUGUACAGAGAUGUUGGCUGAACUUACUUAAUUACACUAACUUUAACAGAUAAAAUAUUGAUUGGAUGUAUAACAUUCAUCAAACAAGGAAAAAGUGAAGGUUGCUCUGACCUGGUUAUUUAUAUGAAAGAAUAAAAUAUUUCUCCACAAGAAAAAAUAAUAAUUAUAUUUUUGUAACAACUUUGAGUAGCAUCCAACAGACUCCCUAGCUUUGACAGUCACUUGCUAACUAAGAAGCUGACGUACAUAGCUUGAGUGAUGUGCUGCUAAAUCAUCGCAUAGAAAUUAUCUGUUGAUAGACUUGAUGGGUAUAAACAUUAUUUAUUCUAAGCUCAACUAAUCAAAUCCAGAUUCAUGAUCUGAAAAGUUAUGAUUGAGAAGAUGGUGGCAUUUCUGUGUUUAUAAUGCAAGAGCUUUUGCUGCCAAUUGUGUUUUAGAUUUGUUGCCUAAAGUGAUUUGUUUGGUGGUGGCUAGGAGGGAAUGAUUGUUUUCUUCAACUUUUGGUUAUGUGAUUUUCCCCCUUUGUCGCGACGUAAAAUCUAGUGUUGAUAUGGAUAAGUGGGACGAUGUCACGCCACGAACCAUGGGCUGGGCGUAACACGACAUUCGAUGCCAUACUACAUGUGACCGAGCAAACCAUAUGACUUGUUGAAUCAUCAUGAGGUAUAACAUGAGCGGAAAAUAACGUAAGCGUGAUGGACUUUUAAGAAAAACACAUGGAGUCAUAAUCAUUCAUAAAAUACUUGUUUAAAACCUGAAUGCGGAAAUAACAUGAGUUGAGCCAAAGAUGGCUAAACACCUUGCAUAUCUGACAUAACUAAACUGACUAGUCUAUGAAACCUCUAAUCAUGAGUCUUAACUGGGAAACGUACUUGCUGGGACAAGGCCCCAGCAUACCUUUAAUGCAUAACUAAUAAGGCAUAGAUAAAUGACUAAUCCCCAAAUGAGAUGGGGCUCACCAAUAAGUUGAUACGAAUGCUGUCCUACUGAGCAGAUGCAUCAUCCUGUAAAUCUGUACCUGCAUAGUAAAAUGCAGGCCCCCGGGCAAUAAAAAGGGACGUCAGCACAUUGAAUGUACUGGUAUGUAAAGCAACUGAAUGAAAGAACAUGGUACAUGAAAUAACGUGAUAAGGGCUGAAUUGAAACUAAAACAUGAUCAUGAGCAUGAGUACAUAUACAUAUAAACAUGUGUAAAAUAUCGUGAGUAGGGAGAGCAGUAAAUAUAAUUGACAGCAUGGUCUGGUACUUGCGCCCUACCAGUAGAACACUCAUACCUUGCCAGGGACAUGAGAUUUAAUAAUAUUAUGAAAGGAUCCAGUCAUUAUGAGAGAUCGUCCUAAGCAUGGGUGGAGCGAUCCUCAUCCUACGGUGGCUAUUUAGUUUUAGUCAUUAUGAAUCAUAACUUGCAUGUACAUGGAUAUCAUUCGUAUUAUUGUUGCAUGAACUUAUAAAAUAUAUAUAGCUUUUCUUGAAAAUAUCAUAAUGGUUCAUAAACUUGCAUGUAAGAACCAAUGGAAUGCAAAGUACGGGUUUUCAUGGAUUAUAGACAGAUUCUCAAUAAUCAUAAUGAUGUAUCAAGAACACAAUGAAGAAUUUAUAACAAUUUAAUACAUAAUAUAACAUGGGGCAUGGAGCUAUAGGGUUAUCAUGAACAUGGUUAAAAACCCUAGUUUUCAUAAAGCUUCAUACUUUAUGGAAGACGAAGCGUGGGGAAGAACAAUGAUGUUCCCGCACGUAAAUAGCAACCUUACAUACCUGGUAACGCUCCAAACUCGUAAUGAAAAUCUGAACUUUGAAUAAGAAUUUCAAAGCCUAGUUUUGAAUCCCUUUAAUUGGGUUUUCUUGAAAACCCUAUGUUAAGAACAUGAAAUUCCUACUUAGAAUUCGUGGGAAAUUGAUGGAAUUCAUUUAGGAUGGUCUUAAGGAGCUUACCUUGAUGCUUGGAGGAGUUGAGAGAAGAGAAUUUUCGUGUUAGAGCUUGAGAGGAAUGAGACUUAUGAAAUAAAAUUGAAUUUCGGUCUUUUUAAUUGUCUCAGUCGCGACACUGUUACGGUCCGUAACACUGGACCGUAACACGUGUAAAAUUUCCAGUGAGGUCUGAUUUUUGAGGUUGGGUUACGGCGACUUGUUACGGUCUGUAACGAGGAACCGUCCUUUGGUCCAAGUUAUGAGACGGUGAUUUUUCAAGCCAUACCCGUUACCGUAUGAACGACGGUCCGUAACACACGUUACGGUCCGUCCCUUGUAGCGUAACGCUGAGUUUUCUGAACUGAUACAUAGUUUCGAUUCCAACACUCUCCUUCUUGGUUUUUUAACCUCCUGAGUCAUGAAUAUGGUUUAGUACAGAUUUUACGAGGUGUUGCAGAUGAAGACACUUUUGUGGCUCUAUCACUGUAACAUAAACGAAGUUUUGAGUUUCAUAUUCAUUAAUUUCAUUUACCACUGAAGCUUCAUUAGUUUAUCAUACAAUUACACAGAAGUUACUUGGAAAUACUCUGUUUCAUAUUUCAUUUGACAAAUUCUUCUUUGGUGAGCUACUUAAGACAAAAACAUUCUCUUUAAUGAACUUUACAACUACAAUAAUUAAAUACCCAGUUAAACUAGAAGAUAAUCAUUCAGUAUUUCCAUCCUAUUAGUUGUGACGGUGAUCUUUUUGGGUGUUUCCAUCGAUGCCUUAUAAAGGUGACAUUUUUAUUCUUCAAGACAUGAUUGUUCGCCUGCCAGACAUAAGUUAUUCAUAGUUACAUUAACAUCUGUUUUGAGUCUUAGUGUUCACGGAGUCCUUUUUGUGCUCUUGCUUUGUCUUCCGUGGUUUCUCAAACAUGUAACUAUAUCUUUUGGUGUUUGAAGUCUGCUUUGAAACUUUGCAGGUUGGUCUUUCACAAGAGAGAGUCCAUAUAUUUUCAUCUUCAAAAGUUCUUUACAUGUACUGCACAGAUGAUAAAAAGUUCGUCACCACAUGUACUGCAGAUAUGAAAAAAGUUCUUCACCACAUCAUGUACAACAUAGUGAAAAAAAUGGGGCUUGCAUCUACUUCGGAAGAUAUAUUUAGUGUUUUAACUUUCAAGUUUGUAUUUAUGAGUAAAGGUAUAUAAAAUACCUUGAUGUUUCCAUCAUUAGAUCAAUCACAGUUAUAAUGUAAUAACGUUUCUCACAUGUUCUCACAUGUUUAAGACUGUUUACUAAAGCUUUUACCUAAAUUAGAUAACCAAAAUACUCAUGUUGGGCCUGUGCAUCGAACGGGGCUUUUCCUUCUAGUUUACCCCUAAACAUGACCGUGGGCUAAGGGUCGAGCCAGGGGACCAUAGAAUUGGACAAAGCUCGGGUCAGUUAUAAGGGAGAGACCUAUUAAUUUUGAUAGUUAAGAAAAGUUUCUUUUUCCAAAUAAAAUUUAAAUUCAGUAUUUUAUUUUUCGGGAUUUUGAUAUUUUAGGCACAUUUCUCUUUUCUUUUUUCGGAUUGAACUGAGAAAAAAUAUUACUUAAAAUUUGGAAUCAUCUUCAAACCACUUGAAGAGUUUUUUUUUUUUUUUUCAUGGAAGAGUUGAUACAUUAUACUCCUAUGAUACUAGACUAUAAGGGCUUAUUAAUAGUAUGAGGGUAUAU